CUUGAAGGCCUCCGCUUCGCCGUUCUGGUCGUCCUUGGCCAGCAGGUCCAUGAGGGACACCAGCCCCAGCGAAGCAAGACCUUAAGCGAUUUCAAAGCGCAGGCACCUCGAUUCCCCGAAUGCGUUGUGUGGCCGGUAUCGGUGUUGCCCUGGUUUAACUAGCCUGUCUGGCAAAACAAAUGAGACCCAACUGCUCACAGAACAUUCCAAAGAGUCAACAGAGAGAAAUGGAAAGUAUUAGAAACAUGAUUGUCUUUGGAAAAGGAGACACAAAUAUAGUUCCUGAAUCAAGGUUAUUUCAGGCCACUUUGGAAAUUCACCCAGGAAGUUUCGGUUGAAGCAGAUUUCAGAUACCUCAUGGCUUCAGGAUCUUCAAGAAGGCAAAUAGUAAAAUGAAAAACACGUGCAGGAAAUUAGGAUUGCAGUUGCCUGGGCUGCUGAAGGGGUUGCUACUGAGGGGGAAAGACCUCGGAGGGGAUCCUCUUACGUUGAAUGGAGAUGUGCGUGCAUAACAGCGUCCCAAAUCCCAAAUCCAGGUGUAGAACUUGUACACUUUAAAUAUCUCACAAUUUUGUCAGUUAUACCUUAAUAAAACUGGGGAAAAGUAAAUUUUUAAAAAAUGCUCUUUCUUGCUGUGAGAGUUCUUCUUAUAUUUGGGGGAUCAGCUCUUUUUCUAAAUGAUUAUCCAGGUGUCAUGACACUAUUUAUUAAAAAGUCCAUCUUGUCCUCACAUAUGUGAUA